GAUGAACGCUAGCGGCAGGCUUAACACAUGCAAGUCGAACGCAUCCUUCGGGGUGAGUGGCAGACGGGUGAGUAACGCGUGGGAACGUGCCCUUCAGUUCGGGAUAACCCAGGGAAACUUGGGCUAAUACCGGAUACGUGCGAGAGCAGAAAGAUUUAUCGCUGAAGGAUCGGCCCGCGUCUGAUUAGCUGGUUGGUGGGGUAAUGGCACACCAAGGCGACGAUCAGUAGCUGGUCUGAGAGGAUGAUCAGCCACAUUGGGACUGAGACACGGCCCAAACUCCUACGGGAGGCAGCAGUGGGGAAUAUUGGACAAUGGGCGCAAGCCUGAUCCAGCCAUGCCGCGUGAGUGAUGAAGGCCUUAGGGUUGUAAAGCUCUUUCGUCCGGGACGAUAAUGACGGUACCGGAAGAAGAAGCCCCGGCUAACUUCGUGCCAGCCGCCGCAGUAA
rnacentral:rRNA from 1 species